rnacentral:snRNA from 1 species
GUAUAUUCAAAACUGGGCAUACACUAAAAUUGGGACAAUACAGAGAAGAUUAGCAUAGUCUCUGCACAAGGAUGACACAAAAUUUAUGAAGCCCUUUAUAUUAUA